UAUAAAUUCAAUUCUUUUGUGUAUUUAUAAAAAUCUAUGUAUCUUGUAUGGAUUCCAAAACCCUUGGGGUCCUUACUCGCUACGCUUCUUCUUCUUUAUUGGCGUUAGCACUGCCUUCGCGAUUAUAGCCAAGCUGUGGGACAGCAUUUCAAACUCCCUACACACAACCGCAAACGAAACUAUUGGAUCUCGGAAUGGUUGCAAAAACAGCUGGUACGAUUAGGAAUGCCGUGUCGUGGUGGGGAAAUAACAGACUGCCUACUCCGCAAGCUUGCGAUCGAUCACAACACCAGCGGGUUGGGGUAAAUACCGAGAGCUAAAGAUGGAAGCAAGACGAAAUGCGUCAGUACGAUGAGCUUGAGAAGCUGGCCGACAAGGGUAUUGCUCUAAACUUCUACGAAAAAAUACGCCGACUUACGGAAGGUUUCAAGACCGGAGCAAACUCAUGUAGGACCCCGGGAGGUGAACUAGUGACGGAUGCCCAAAGUAUACUGAAUUUAUGGACACUUCUUCAGCCUGCUGAAUGGCAGUCAAAAUGAAACACCCGUUCCGUCAUCAGACUAUGAAAAAGUCCGAAUAGCAAUCGCCCUCUUAAAAAACAACAAAGUGGCGGGACCGAUGGAUUACGGGUCAAGCUAUUCAAGUAUGGGGGUGAAGAACUGAUCAGGUGCAAGCAUCAGCUUCUUUGCAAAAUAUGGUCGGACGAAAGCAUGCCAGAUGAUUGGAAUUUACGUGUGCUCAGCCCAAUCCACAAAAAGGGAGACCCUACAGUCUGCGCCAAUGAUCGUAGGAUAAAUCUUCUUAACAUCGCAUAAAAUGUCCUGUCCAGCGUAUUGCGUAAAAGACUAAAGCCCACCGCCAACAAACUGAUUGGACCUUAUCAGUGUGGCUUUAUACCUGAAAGACGAGAAAUAUAUUUUAUUGCUAUCAUUGAUGUGUUGACCCAGUAUGGUGUAAAGAAACAGGCCGCAAAAGCAGCUAAAACGGUAAAGUAUGGAGGUAAUGUCGACGGUAUUUCUACAUGUGAUCCAGACCAAUAUGCUAAACGGUUUCUAGAUUUCAUGGAUAAAGCGAUUGAGUAAUCAGUUGUCUUGGAUAACGUGAAUUUAAGAUCAGAUUAUUUUAAAUUAAGUACUCAAGUAACAACUUAAAAUUAUUGCGAUGCGAAAUAUGCAAAUGUUGUGAUUUCAUACUAGGUAACUUUAAUAAUACUUCCUUUUUUUGGUAUGCCAACUGUUUGAAGAACUAACAUUUAUGAAAUUUUUUACUAAUAUACGAAAGAAAAUAAAUUUAUUUUAUUAUGUUGAUUUCGUACUUCAAGCGCUAAUAGAUACGAUAACAUUCCCAAACAUAUUUAAACAAAGGUCAGUGUAAAGAUAGAAUAACAUCUUGUUGGAUAUAAUUUAGUUUCUGACUUUAUUGAAAUAAUUUGAAGAAUUGUGUUCUUUGCUUUAAUGUCAUCUAUGUUUCUUCAAAAUCACUAAUUAUUAUAUAUUAUUUGCAUACAAAUUA